UAAAGCUAAGUCCUACUCCCUUAUGUCGGUUGAUGUUCAGUUGGUAAGGUUUGGGAAAAACUCUCAUAGUUUGUUGUUCUAGAGUGCAGCCUGUUUGUGAAGUUUAUAAUCUUCCUAUUGUAUGACAUAACUUGGCUAUUUGAUGAUGAUGAAAUGUGAUUAUGCUAAAUAUGGAUGCGAACUGAAUUGAAUACUUGAGAUAGCAAAUUACCUUGAAUGCUUUCAAACAAUUGGGUUGUUGUUGGAAUUGAACGUGUUGUGGAAUAUCUCUUGAAGUUUUUUUCUGGUUGAGUCAGAGUAAUGAAUGAGGGUUCCUUCACCCUUCUUCAGUGUUGGAUGGAUCAACUGAACUGGAAUGGUGGAAAAGAUUUAAAAAUUUUGUUGUUCCUUCAAUAAUUGCAGGUGGAAGCAUGGAGAAGAUGGAGGAUUUAGAGGCUGGAUUUACCUUGAAGUCUUGGCAGAAUAUUCAAACAAGUCCCCUUUGCUCUUUGCAUUCGCUGGUGCAAGAUGGAGGAGAAGUGUGAAGUGUUGGGAGCAGAAAUGUGAGACUAAAGUAGGGGUUGUGUGAUCAUUGAGCAGUACAACAGUAGACUGUAGAGUAGGGUGGCUGAUUACUGCAGCUGCUCCUUAUCCCACGUCCCUUUCCCCCUUUUUCUUUUCUUUUUAUUGCUGCAGUUUCUUUUCUUUGGUGUUGACUAGGUGGAAGGUAGAAGUAGGGAUUUGAUAACUAUAGGUUGUGGAAGUAGAGCUUGUAAGAUAGAAGAAAUUAAAUCUCGGUCUAUGUAAUUCUAUAUUCGUAAUGAAAGAUUCGAGUUUUGCUAA